rnacentral:rRNA from 1 species
UACAGAGGUCUCAAGCGUUGUUCGGAUUCAUUGGGCGUAAAGGGUGUGUAGGUGGCGCCGUAAGUCGGGUGUGAAAUUUCGGAGCUUAACUCCGAAACUGCAUUCGAUACUGCGGUGCUUUGAGGACUGGGAGAGGAGACUGGAAUUCAUGGUGUAGCAGUGAAAUGCGUAGAGAUCAUGAGGAAGACCAGUGGCGAAGGCGGGUCUCUGGACAGUUCCUGACACUGAGACACGAAGGCCAGGGGAGCAAACGGGG